UUUGCGUGUAAGUGCUAGCGUUGGUGCUAUUAGGCGUACCGGGGCGGGAUGAACUCGGUGAACUAACACAUGGAGGAUACCAUGAGUUUGUAGUAACUUCCUGUGGCCUCGGAUCACCUUGCUCUUGAGAACACCUGAAAGUUAACAGCAAUUAAUACUUUAAUGUUGCAAAGCCGGAAGUACCAACUUGAACAUAUUUGUCACAGGCUGUUGAUUGGUUGUGAUGGUGAAUCGAUCGAAUGAAUAGAUGGUCCGAUACGAUGAGAUGCAAUGGUAGUGACGGAGGGAGAUAGUGGGGUUACCGGAAACGUGUGCUCCGAUACUACCCCCGAUUUGAUUAUUAUGUACA
rnacentral:lncRNA from 1 species